rnacentral:rRNA from 1 species
UACAGAGGGUGCGAGCGUUAAUCGGAAUUACUGGGCGUAAAGCGCACGUAGUCGGCUUUGCAAGUCGGGUGUGAAAUCCCCGGGCUCAACCUGGGAACUGCAUCCGAGACUGCAUUGCUAGAGUAUGGGAGAGGGAAGCGGAAUUUCUGGUGUAGCAGUGAAAUGCGUAGAUAUCAGAAGGAACAUCAGUGGCGAAGCGGCUUCCUGGACCAAU